rnacentral:rRNA from 1 species
AUCCUGGCUCAGGAUGAACGCUAGCGGCAGGCUUAACACAUGCAAGUCGAGGGGCAGCACGUCUUCGGAUGGUGGCGACCGGCGCACGGGUGCGUAACGCGUAUAGAACCUACCUUUUACAGGGGAAUAGCCCAGAGAAAUUUGGAUUAAUGCCCCAUAGUAUUAUUGAAUGGCAUCAUUUAAUAAUUAAACAUUUAUGGGUAAAAGAUGGCUAUGCGUUCUAUUAGCUAGUAGGUAAGGUAACGGCUUACCUAGGCAACGAUAGAUAGGGGGUCCUGAGAGGGAGAUCCCCCACACUGGUACUGAGACACGGACCAGACUCCUACGGGAGGCAGCAGUGAGGAAUAUUGGACAAUGGGCGAGAGCCUGAUCCAGCCAUGCCGCGUGCAGGAAGACGGUCCUAUGGAUUGUAAACUGCUUUUAUACAGGAAGAAACACUCGGACGUGUCCGAGCUUGACGGUACUGUAUGAAUAAGCACCGGCUAACUCCGUG